rnacentral:rRNA from 1 species
UGGGGAAUAUUGGACAAUGGGCGAAAGCCUGAUCCAGCAAUGCCGCGUGCAGGAAGAAGGCCUUCGGGUUGUAAACUGCUUUUGUACGGAACGAAAAGGCUCUUUCUAAUAAAGAGGGCCCAUGACGGUACCGUAAGAAUAAGCACCGGCUAACUACGUGCCAGCAGCCGCGGUAAUACGUAGGGUGCGAGCGUUAAUCGGAAUUACUGGGCGUAAAGCGUGCGCAGGCGGUUCUAUAAGACAGAUGUGAAAUCCCCGGGCUCAACCUGGGAAUGGCAUUUGUGACUGUAGAGCUAGAGUACGGUAGAGGGGGAUGGAAUUCCGCGUGUAGCAGUGAAAUGCGUAGAUAUGCGGAGGAACACCGAUGGCGAAGGCAAUCCCCUGGACCUGUACUGACGCUCAUGCACGAAAGCGUGGGGAGCAAACAGGAUUAGAUACCCCGGUAGUCCCUGAGCGGGCUGGCAAGGCGCAU